UGGUCUGAGUCGGCCGCGCCCAAGUCCAUUGGAACAUGGCGCCUGGGAGGGUGAGAGCCCCGUAUGGCGCACGCCGACUCUUUGUACACCGCGGCUCCGACGAGUCGAGUUGUUUGGGAAUGCAGCUCUAAGUGGGUGGUAAAUUCCAUCUAAAGCUAAAUAUUGGCGAGAGACCGAUAGCGAACAAGUACAGUGAUGGAAAGAUGAAAAGCACUUUGAAAAGAGAGUGAAACAGCACGUGAAAUUGUUGAAAGGGAAGGGCUUGCAAGCAGACACGGUUUUACCGGGCCAGCGUCGAAAAGGGGGGAGGAACAAGAACUCGAGAAUGUGGCGCGCACCUUCGGGCGCGCGUGUUAUAGCUCGUGUUGACGCCUCCAUCCCUUUUCGAGGCCUGCGAUUCUAGGAC
rnacentral:rRNA from 1 species